UGGGGAAUAUUGCAAAAUGGGCGAAAGCCUGAUGCAGCGACGCCGCGUGAGGGAUGACGGCCUUCGGGUUGUAAACCUCUUUCAGUAGGGACGAAGCGCAAGUGACGGUACCUGCAGAAGAAGCACCGGCUAACUACGUGCCAGCAGCCGCGGUAAUACGUAGGGGGCGAGCGUUGUCCGGAAUUACUGGGCGUAAAGAGCUCGUAGGCGGUUUCUCACGUCGUCUGUGAAAUCCUAGGGCUUAACCCUGGACGUGCAGGCGAUACGGGAUGACUGGAGUACUACAGGGGAGACUGGAAUUUCUGGUGUAGCGGUGGAAUGCACAGAUAUCAGGAAGAACACCGAUGGCGAAGGCAGGUCUCUGGGUAGUAACUGACGCUGAGGAGCGAAAGCAUGGGUAGCGAACAGG
rnacentral:rRNA from 1 species